UCGAACGAGAAAGCCCGCAAGGGUGAGUAAAGUGGCGUACGGGUGAGUAACACGUGGGUAAUCUACCUUCUGGUGGGGAAUAACACUGGGAAACCGGUGCUAAUACCGCAUAAUCUCGAGAGAGGAAAGGUGAAAAUCGCCGGAAGAGGAGCCCGCGGCUGAUUAGCUAGUUGGUAGGGUAACGGCCUACCAAGGCAAUGAUCAGUAGCCGGCCUGAGAGGGCACACGGCCACACUGGCACUGAAACACGGGCCAGACUCCUACGGGAGGCAGCAGUGGGGAAUCUUGCACAAUGGGGGAAACCCUGAUGCAGCGACGCCGCGUGAGCGAUGAAGCCCUUCGGGGUGUAAAGCUCUUUCGGCAGGAACGAUAAUGACGGUACCUGAAGAAGAAGCUGCGGCUAACUACGUGCCAGCAGCCGCGGUAAUACGUAGGCAGCAAGCGUUGUUCGGAGUUACUGGGCGUAAAGAGUGCGUAGGCGGUGCUCUAAGUUUGGUGUGAAAUCUCCCGGCUCAACUGGGAGGGUGCGCCGAAAACUGGAGUGCUUGAGUAUGGGAGAGGUAAGCGGAAUUCCUGGUGUAGCGGUGAAAUGCGUAGAUAUCAGGAGGAACACCUGUGGUGUAGACAGCUUACUGGACCAUCACUGACGCUGAGGCACGAAAGCGUGGGUAGCAAACAGGAUUAGAUACCCUGGUAGUCCACGCCCUAAACGAUGCAUACUUGGUGUGAGCCAUUCAUUUGGUUCGUGCCGGAGCUAACGCGUUAAGUAUGCCGCCUGGGGAGUACGGUCGCA
rnacentral:rRNA from 1 species